rnacentral:rRNA from 1 species
AGUCAACCUACCCUAUGGACGGGAAUAACCUCGGGAAACUGAGAAUAAUGCCCGAUAGAACAUUAUGCCUGGAAUGGUUUAUGUUCCAAAUGAUUCAUCGCCGUAGGAUGGGACUGCGGCCUAUCAGUUUGUUGGUGAGGUAAUGGCCCACCAAGACUAUUACAGGUACGGGCUCUGAGAGGAGUAGCCCGGAGAUGGGUACUGAGACACGGACCCAGGCCCUAUGGGGCGCAGCAGGCGAGAAAACUUUGCAAUGUGCGAAAGCACGACAAGGUUAAUCCGAGUGGUUUCUGCUAAAGGAACCUUUUGUCGGUCCUAGAAACACCGAUGAAUAAGGGGUGGGCAAGUUCUGGUGUCAGCCGCCGCGGUAAAACCAGCACCUCAAGUGGUCAGGAUGAUUAUUGGGCCUAAAGCAUCCGUAGCCUGCUUUGUAAGUUUUCGGUUAAAUCCAUGUGCUCAGCACAUGGGCUGCCGGGAAUACUGCACAGCUAGGGAGUGGGAGAGGUAGACGGUACUUGAUAGGAAGGGGUAAAAUCCUUUGAUCUAUUGAUGACCACCUGUGGCGAAGGCGGUCUACCAGAACACGUCCGACGGUGAGGGAUGAAAGCUGGGGGAGCAAACCGGAUUAGAUACCCGGGUAGUCCCAGCUGUAAACUAUGCAAACUCAGUGAUGCAUUGGCUUGUGGCUAAUGCAGUGCU